rnacentral:rRNA from 1 species
GACGAACGCUGGCGGUGUGCUUAACACAUGCAAGUCGAACGGUAAGGCCCUUUCGGGGGUACACGAGUGGCGAACGGGUGAGUAACACGUGAGUAACCUGCCCUCAUCUCUGGGAUAACAGUCGGAAACGGUUGCUAAUACUGGAUAUGAGCUUGCAAGGCAUCUUGUGGGUUGGAAAGAUUUUUUUGGUUGGGGAUGGACUCGCGGCCUAUCAGCUUGUUGGUGAGGUAGUGGCUCACCAAGGCUUCGACGGGUAGCCGGCCUGAGAGGGCGACCGGCCACAUUGGGACUGAGAUACGGCCCAAACUCCUACGGGAGGCAGCAGUGAGGAAUAUUGCACAAUGGACGGAAGUCUGAUGCAGCAACGCCGCGUGCGGGAUGACGGCCUUCGGGUUGUAAACCGCUUUCAAUUGUGACGAAGCUUUUUGUGACGGUAGCAGUAGAAGAAGCACCGGCUAACUACGUG